CGCUGGCGGCGUGCUUAACACAUGCAAGUCGAACGAGAAUCACCGGAAGGAGUUUUCGGACAACGGAAGGUGAGGACAGUGGCGGACGGGUGAGUAACGCGUGAGGAACCUGCCUUUCAGAGGGGGACAACAGUUGGAAACGACUGCUAAUACCGCAUAACGCAUAGGUAUCGCAUGGUACUUAUGCCAAAGAUUUAUCGCUGAAAGAUGGCCUCGCGUCUGAUUAGCUGGUUGGUGAGGUAACGGCCCACCAAGGCGACGAUCAGUAGCCGGACUGAGAGGUUGACCGGCCACAUUGGGACUGAGAUACGGCCCAGACUCCUACGGGAGGCAGCAGUGGGGAAUAUUGGGCAAUGGGCGCAAGCCUGACCCAGCAACGCCGCGUGAAGGAAGAAGGCUUUCGGGUUGUAAACUUCUUUUGGCAGGGAAGAGGAGAAGACGGUACCUGCCGAAUAAGCCACGGCUAACUACGUGCCAGCAGCCGCGGUAAUACGUAGGUGGCAAGCGUUGUCCGGAUUUACUGGGUGUAAAGGGCGUGUAGCCGGGUUGGUAAGUCAGAUGUGAAAUGCACGGGCUUAACUCGUGAACUGCAUUUGAAACUGCUGAUC
rnacentral:rRNA from 1 species